UACGUAGGUAGCAAGCGUUGUUCGGAAUUAUUGGGCGUAAAGAGUGUGUAGGUGGUGUCGUAAGUUUGGUGUGAAAUCUCCCGGCUUAACUGGGAGGGUGCGCCGAAGACUGCGAUGCUGGAGUAUGGGAGAGGAAAGCGGAAUUCCUGGUGUAGCGGUGAAAUGCGUAGAUAUCAGGAGGAACACCUGCGGUGUAGACGACUUUCUGGACAAUUACUGACACUGAGGCACGAAAGCGUGGGUAGCAAACAGG
rnacentral:rRNA from 1 species